UACAGAGGGUGCGAGCGUUAAUCGGAAUUACUGGGCGUAAAGCGCGCGUAGGCGGCUUUGCAAGUCGGGUGUGAAAUCCCCAGGCUUAACCUGGGAACUGCAUUCGAGACUGCAUUGCUAGAGUAUGGGAGAGGGAAGUGGAAUUUCCGGUGUAGCGGUGAAAUGCGUAGAUAUCGGAAGGAACAUCAGUGGCGAAAGCGACUUCCUGGACCAAUACUGACGCUGAGGCGCGAAAGCCAGGGGAGCGAACGGG
rnacentral:rRNA from 1 species